rnacentral:rRNA from 1 species
GACGAACGCUGGCGGCGUGCUUAACACAUGCAAGUCGAACGGAAAGGCCUGCUUUCCCUUGUGGAUUGCGGGUACUCGAGUGGCGAACGGGUGAGUAACACGUGAGUGAUCUGCCCCCAACUUGGGUAUAAGCCUGGGAAACUGGGUCUAAUUCCCGAUAGGACUGCAGGGUGGUGCCUGUGGUGGAAAACGAUUUUCUAGUGGUUGGGGAUGAGCUCGCGGCCUAUCAGCUUGUUGGUGGGGUAAUGGCCUACCAAGGCGGCGACGGGUAGCCGGCCUGAGAGGGUGGACGGCCGAAUUGGGACUGAGAUACGGCCCAGACUCCUACGGGAGGCAGCAGUGGGGAAUAUUGCACAAUGGGCGGAAGCCUGAUGCAGCGACGCCGCGUGGGGGAUGACGGCCUUCGGGUUGUAAACUCCUUUCGACCGCGAGGAAGCCACCUGGUUGGAAGGGUGGUGACGGUAGUGGUAGAAGAAGCACCGGCUAACUACGUG